rnacentral:rRNA from 1 species
CCUACGGGGUGCAGCAGUGGGGAAUAUUGGACAAUGGGCGAAAGCCUGAUCCAGCCAUGCCGCGUGUGUGAAGAAGGCCUUCGGGUUGUAAAGCACUUUCAGUGGGGAAGAAAGCCUUGGGGCUAAUACCCUCGAGGAAGGACAUCACCCACAGAAGAAGCACCGGCUAACUCCGUGCCAGCAGCCGCGGUAAUACGGAGGGUGCGAGCGUUAAUCGGAAUUACUGGGCGUAAAGCGCGCGUAGGCGGUCUGAUAAGCCGGUUGUGAAAGCCCCGGGCUCAACCUGGGAACGGCAUCCGGAACUGUCAGGCUAGAGUGCAGGAGAGGAAGGUAGAAUUCCCGGUGUAGCGGUGAAAUGCGUAGAGAUCGGGAGGAAUACCAGUGGCGAAGGUGGCCUUCUGGACUGACACUGACGCUGAGGUGCGAAAGCGUGGGUAGCAAACAGGAUUAGAUACCCCAGUAGUC